rnacentral:lncRNA from 7 species
AAAGAGAGCUUGCAGGCUUCAAUGAAAGUGACUAAAGUUGCUCUCUUUUUUUUUUUUUUUUAACAGAAAUCAGAGCAAAACUAUUAUACAUGUGUGUAUAUAUGUUUGCUGGAAAGUUGCACUAAAAUCACUUGUAAUCCACCCCAUCUUGCUGCUUUUUCCAACAACUGAAGACAUUAUUUAACAGCCUGAUGAUCUAGCUAACCCAGAGAACUUGAAGAAGGCUUGACACGUGCAGCCAUUUGAGUACCAGUGCCAAGAGGAAGUGACAAAGCAGCUCCUAGGGCAAUAUGGAUCUCCAGCUGAUCAGCUAAGAUCUCCUUCUUCAGUGAUGCUCCCGUUCUCAUUUUCUUCAAACUCAGGUGAGCAGUAUGUGAAUUGCAAGGACUUCAUGGAGGGCUGGAUUUUAUAUCUGGACUGUAGGACAAACUGAAGGUUUUGGGAUAGCAUAUAUGACUUGUGGAACAAACUCUAUAACCACAAAGGAGUUGUAGAGCAGGCUGUGUGGACAAGGAAGUUCGGGUGACAAAUUACAAAAACAAAAAAAAACUUGAGAAGUGCCAUCUGCUGAAGAUCAUGCUGCAAGACAAGCAGUGCCAAAAAGAGAACUCAGCCUUGAGCCAGUGCUCCCGUCAGACUUACAGUUGCAUCCUGCAUGAUUCUGGUUACUGAAUUGGUCCUGUUCAACUUAAAGCUGCUGUCAGCAAGACGGAGUGUCAGAAAAAUAUAACUUCUUUCAUAAAAUUCUUCAUGUGUAUUUUGGAAAAAGUUUAAUUAGCUGUCAAAUUUUCCUUGUGCAUUUUCAUUUCCAAGUUCCACAUCUAAGCAGUGAGUGGUGGCUCACAGCUUUCUGGUUUAUAGAAAGCGUACUGUUGUACAAAGUUCACCUGGUUUUAUUCUAGACUGAUCUCCAAAAGAGGACUUCCUGUACUGUCUAUAUCUGCUUCCUACAAUUACUGUUUUACUGAAAUCAGUUUUAAAGCAGUUGUCUGAUUCCAUCAUCAUUUGACAGAAAUGAAAAAAAAAAAAUCAUUUCUAUAUGAAAUAAAAUCAUUUCUAUAGAACAAGUGAAAAUACGGAGGAGACCCUGCUAGCAAUCUGGCUGCAGGAUAAAGCUUUGCUUUUCCUGCCACCCAUAGAGCUACUCCCCUGUCCUCACCCUCCUCCUGUUAGUUUGUCCCUUCUGUUAAUCCCCUUUCAAUGUCUUGCUAUUGAAAAAGGAAGUCUAUUAUAUUUUUCUCAUGAAUGGUCACUGUUACCGCUAAAAAUCAGCGUUGGAUAUAAGUAGAGCUGCAGAGGGCACACAAUUUUUUCUCAGAAUCUGACUUUUUUAUGAAAUUGUUUUCAGCUGCUAUGAACUUAAACAUUUUUGGCUAUUUGUUUUUUAAACCUGCUU